rnacentral:ncRNA from 2 species
CUCUUAUCCAGAGAGGCGGAGGGAAAUGGCCCGAUGAAACCUCAGCAACCGCAGGCAAAAGCCUGAAAGGUGCUAAUUCCAUCAAAGCUUGUGUAUAAGCUUUGGCAGAUGAGAG